rnacentral:tRNA from 1 species
GGCGGGUUCGGCUAGCGGCCAGGCCACCAGACUCUCGAUCUGGGAACACGGGUUCGACUCCCGUACUCGCUA